CCUCCACAGUCAGGAAGCAGAGAGAGACGGAUGCUGGUGCCCAGCUCACUUCCUCCUUUUAAUUCAGUCCAGGACCCCAGCCUAAGCCAAGUGGAUGGUGCUGUCCACAUUUAGGUGUAUCUUCUCACUUCACUUAACCCUAAAGACUUCCUCACAAAUGUGCUGAGAGGUUUGUUUCUUAGAUAAUUCUAGAGCUUAUCAAGUUGACCAGAUACACCAUCACAGCCUGCAAACAGGAACUGUUUUUUAUCUUCUGUAUUCUUUUAGAGGCAAGUUCUCAUAGUCUUAACAUACAUUGGCCUGAGACUCAUUGUUGUCACCCAGGCUACCUCACAUUCACAGUGAUCCUCCUGCCUCAGCCUCCUGAGUACUAGGAUUAUAAGCAUGCUUGGCUCCAAAAUAAUUAAUGAUGAUAGUUGAUGUUUUUAAGAAAACUAUUCAAGAAAACACCCAGACAUCAUAACAACAGCAAAAACCCAUGCUGAGGUGGCAAGAUGGCAUAGUAGAGCCCCUGCCUAGAAUCCCCCAGUGAGGGGCUGGGGUGUGGCUCAGUGGUAGAGCACCUGCCUAGAAUCCCCAGUGAGGGGCUGGGGUGUGGCUCAGUGGUAGAGCACCUGCCUAGAAUCCCCCAGUGAGGAGCUGGGGUGUGACUCAACAGCACAGCACUUGCCCAGCACAGAUGAUGCCCUUGGUUUCAUCCCCAGCACUGCAAACCAAUCUGAAAUGUCAGUGUUCUUCCCUGGGACAGGCAGCAAUUGUCUUUCUUUAGGGCUGGAGUGUUCAUAUCCCCAGUGAGAGAUUCUCGGGUUCUCUUUGCCAGGUGUAGUCCCAGGAGUUCUCGCUGGUUUUGCUGUUGUCUCUCCUCUAUGACAGUGUUCUUGGUGCCUGAAUACUCAUCUCCAUGUCAGUCAGCCAGCACAUAACGGUUUUUUUCCAGGGCUUGCUGUACCAGGUGUGCAAUGAGAGGUUCCUCUCACGGAAGCUCUGUCUGGUCCCUUGAGGGAGGGGACCUGUCAUCUUUUCAUCGUCUUUGUUUAUUCUACUGAGGUCCUCUGGGGUUGGAAUGAGUGAGUUCUUUGGAAUGUCAGCGUGCCCUCCCCAGCGUUCACCAGUUAGCCAGCUAUGCCUGCAGAGCCCGGCGCCAGGAGUCAAGGAUGAAUCAGACUUGAUUGUGGAGUUCCAGUUGCUUCCAGAACUCAGAGAGAAGAACUUACUUACAUGUCUUUAUAUGGAGAACUCAGCUCUGUCCCUCACCCUAGUCCUCACCCGCCCAUCUGACCCUGACCUUUUGUGCAUUGAAUCACGGAGUCCAGUGAAACCCGGAGACAUUGGGAAAAGUCUGAGACUUGACAAGCAAGGUCAAGGGUUUCGGGAAGCUGAAGUGCACUGGCCAUACACACACCUCCUCCAUGACUCAUCUUACAUAUAUUAACAAAGAGAUGAGAAAGGGGCCGGCGAGAGGGCUCAGCAGGAAAAGGGGCUUGCUGCAUAAGCCUGGCGACCUAAGUUCUAUCCCUGGAGCCUACACGGUGGAAGGACUGACCCCACAGAGCGGUCCUGUGACCUCCGCAUGAGUACGGUAGCAUGCAUGCAUGCCCGCGCCACGGAUUGAUAAGUAAAUUAAAGUAAAUAAAUAAAUUCGAAUGAUAAAGACCUGCAAUGAGAAUGAAGAAAAGGGGUCUUCACCCGUAAGAUACAUCAACAGGUUCCGGAAAGACGUGAGUAGAUGCUGAACACAGAGUGGGGGCCCAAGGAGGUGCAUAUUGGGAGCGCAUUGCAUCGGAAGGGACGCAGGGCUGGAGUCAUGUGAGAGCACAAACUGAUCCUUCCUGGUGGGAGCACAUACAUCUAAUCCCUGCACUGAGGAGGCUGGGGCUGGAGGGUUGCAAGUUCCAGGCCAGCCUGCUCUACAUAGUGAGAUUCUUGUCCCAAAACAGUGAGCUCAGGGAGUGGCUGAAUUAGAGGGCCCGAGUUUGAUUCCCAGAGCCCACGCUGAAACAGACAACACCUGGGCAUGGUGGCCCACACCUUUAAUCCUCGAACUUAGGAGGCGUAGAGGCUGCCUGUGUGAGGCUGAACCUUGGUCCACAUAGAAAGUUCCUAGGCCAGCUAGGACUACAUAGUGAGACCUCCCAUCUCAGAAUAAAAUAAAAAUCAAAACAAAACAGGCGUGGUGGCUCAAACGCAUAAUCCCAGCACUGGGGAGGCAGACACAGGUGGAUUCCCGGAGUCAGCCAGCCUAAGAGAGUCAGCAAAUCACAGGUCCCAGUAAGAGACCCUGUUCCAAAAAGCAAGGUAGAUGUCACCUAAGGAAUGACAGCUAUGGCUGGCCUCUGGUACACACACACACACACACACACACACACACACACACACACGCUUGCACUCACAUAAACAUGAACUCUGGUCCUCUGCGAGAGCAGCAUGCUGUCUCAACUGUCUCUCCACCUCUGUUUCCCCAGCACUUUGCUGAUGGCAGCACUCUAUCGGGGAGUUCAGGGGAAAACUAGAGAAACCGAAAUAGUAUCCCCAGAGCUCGAGCACAUCCGAAAAUGAACCAGUGAGGGCCGUGGAAAGAAUUCAGAGUCUCAUCAAGCUGCCAGGACGCUAAGGGGGGUAGGAGGAGCUCUUAGCUUGUCUCCCGAAAACGACUAGAGAAGAGAAUGGGAAGUGGGGGCACGUGCCUGUCAUCCCAACACUCGGGGAGAGGAAGCAGAAGGGUCGGGAGUUCAAGGUCAUCCUUGGUGCUCCAGUCUGAGGCUGCGUGAGUCUCUGAGGACCAGGAGAUGGCUCUGCAGAUAGAGCAGACAGAGCCACCCAAGCCUGGUGACCUGGGACUGGGGUGGAAGGCUGGGUUCAGAGACUCUGGGAAGAAAUCAUCUCCCUGUGGCUGGAGAGGCGGCUCAGUGGCUAAGAGCACUGACUGCUGUCCACUGACGUCUGAGGUUAGGUUCCCAACACCCACACGGCAGCUCACAACAGCCUGUAUUAACUCCAGUACGGAGCAGACCUCCUGACCGUCACCCUUCUCCGUAACAAUGAUGGCCCCUGUGUCAGCACACACCUGGGACUUUAAGCUCCCUAGAGCCCAUUUCCUCCAAACUGAACACUUUGUGUUUCUUCCUUCCCUGCCUGCUCAUUGCCAUUGUAGACUCGAACAAGAAUCUUUAAUAAGCAGGGCAGUGGUGGUGCACACCUUUAAUCCCAGCACUCUGGAGGCAGAGGCAGGCGGAUCUCUGUGAGUUUGAGGCUAGCCUGGUCUACAGAGUGAGUUGUGGAACAGCCAGGGCAACACAGAGAAUCCCUGUCUCAGAAAACAAAACAAGAAUCAUUAGUGCUACUCACACCACAGACUCGAUGUCACAGUGUCUUGAAAUUUUCUCUGCCAAAGAAAUUAGUCCAUUACUGUUUUUGAGACAGCAUCUCACUGUAUAGCCCUGGCUGGCCUUGAACUCACUGGAGAGCCACCUGCUUCUGCUUUUCAAGUAUUGGCAUUAAAGCCAUGUGCCAACUAGUUCAUUGCUUUGACGUUUAGCCUCAGGCAAGCGCUUAGGACCCAGGCAGAGGCAGCCAGAGUCUGUUAGUGUCAGAGGAAUGGGCUCUGGCCUGGUUGCCAGUGUUGCUCCCCUGCACGGCCUCUUGAGCGGUUUCUCCACAGUCCACAUGGCUGUCAUCCCCACUGUCUUCCAAGUCCCUGCCAGAAUGGCCCAUUGGGCUCUGCUGACCGCAGGCAACCACUUCUUUUUCUUGCAGAUUUCCAAAAUCUUCUCCAUCCCUUUAGAAACAGCAACAACAACACGGCCCUGUUCUCCACAGCAGCACCCGUUCUCCUACCAACUUCUGUCUUGGUUUGCUCUCCCUUGAUGUAAUAAAGCCUUGGCCAGAAACAGCUCAGGGGAAGAAGGAAGUUUUUGUUUUUGCUUUUCUUACAGGUCACAGUUCUCCACUGAGGAAUCUAAGACAGGAACUCAAGGCAAGAACUUCGAGGCAGGCGCUGAGGCAGAGGCCCUCAGGGAAGGUGCUUUCUCAGCCACCUUUCUUUCUCUCUCCUUCCUCCUCUUCUUCUCCUCCUCUUCUUCUUCGUAAGACUCCUUCUUAUUUUCCAGGCUCUCCACACACCUUUAAAAUCUCUGGGCAUCAGGGUGCAGCCUUUAAUUCCAGCACUCGGAAGGCAUAGGCAGGUGGAUCUCUGUGACUUUGAGGCCAGCCUGGUCUACAGAGUGAGUUACAAGACGGCCAGGGCUUCACAGAGAAACCCCGUCUUGAAAAAAAAAACAACCAGACUAAAAAGCUGAUCAUUAAUCAUUUUGCAAGGGCGCCAUUUAGUGACAUUUAGUAAUCUAAGCCAGCCAGGCCUGGAAGUCACCGUGUACUCAAAGGUGGCCUCAGACUCACAGCCACUCUCCGUUUUUAGCCUUCCAGUGCUGGAGUGUCAGGUCAGGAGCUGUCACACACACCUGACUUCAAGUGUGUGUUUCGGUAGCAACCCUCAGCUUUAUUCUUGUGGUUUCUUUGUAGACUCACAGAGGUAGUCACUGACAUGGAAACUGACUGCCCCAGAAGCCAAGACCGUCCAAAAUUGCAUUUGUGUUAUGUAUGCCUAUAUAGGUAGAUAUACACGGCAAUUUCUAUGUGUGCAUAAAUACACGUGUGAUUGUGUGUGUGUGUGUGUGUGUGUGUGUGUGUGUGUGUGUGUGUGUGUGCAGUAUCGAUACUACUUUUACAGCGAGGUACAUGUGUGACGCUGUCUGCAUCUUCACUCUUUAGGAAUUUGUCUUUCAGGUCCAUUUCCCCAUCAUCCUGCUGAAGUCAUCCGCAGGCCAU